AGGUCGGAGCGCGGGCAGCGGCGGGAGCGUAAACCUCAGAGGCUCUUGGGCGUUCAUGGUGUUGCUUUUCUAGCUCUCUCCCGCUUGCUCGCUUCUGCCCGACCGCCCCGCGCGCAACCUGCUACCUGCAGAGCCAAGGUGCUCGGGUCCGGGGACUGAGUUCUCGGAGUUUUGCGGCAAAGUUCCGGCUGCUGUUUGCGGAGAUGCCUGGAAGGAGGUCUCGUAGGAACACUCAGACGAACCCUACGCGGGUGGCCCUCCCGCCAGAUCCUGAAGUCGAGUGUGCCAUUCAGUUCAGAAGGAUUGGAGACAAACUGAACUUCCGGCAGAAACUUCUGAAUCUGAUAGCCAAACUCUUCCGCCUAGGAACCUGACUUCAGAAGCUUGUGAAUGAGGAGACUCCUUUAAAAUGGAAGAUUCCCCAGUAGGUGCAGAUUUCAUCAGUUAGAGGAGAGAAUGCCUUGUAAUGGAGAAGAAUGUGAAGGAGCUCUCACUUGCUUUCGGAUGCCCUAGGAAUCGAAGACGGAUAGGUCAAAAAUGAGUUUCUGCUGAAGGUUUUCCAGAAGUCGAUGUUUCGGAUGCAAGAACAUUAAAAAAUGACUUUGUUAAUUUUGAAGCAGGAAUGGGAGAGUUAUGAAAAUAGGGGAGUUAUUAUUUAUACAUUUGGUUUUUGCUUUAGAGUCUUGUUCUAGUCUUUUUGCUGAAGGUUGCUGCCCAGCUUGGUGUAAAAGGAGUUGCCAAAUGAUUAGCUUAUGGGCAAGGGUCAAGAAACAGAAUAUGUUCAAUGUUUGUUUCUGCUUUUGUAUGGCAGCUCCAGAGCAAUGUGUAGUAUUUAGUUUAUAUAUAUUAUCUUGUUAAAAGUAAGGAUUUUUUUCAUGAGAACACUGAAUGUCAUAAUGAAUGUUGAUUGCAUAGGUCACUACAAAAUAUAAUUUGCUAGGUUUUUUUUUGACUCAAAAUGUAUUGUUUCUGUGCCGAUGACCUUUUAUUAAAUGUGUUCUUAUGGGAAUUAACUAGGAAGUUAUAUAUUUUGAAAAAAUUUGAUAGAAGUGUUACUUGGUAUCAGUAAAAUUCUUUCAGUUUGAAUAUUAAAAAGAUAAAGAGCAUGGGGAUUUUGUAUAACCAAGAAUAAUGAAAAAAAGUGACAGUUUUUUUUAUUGCUGUAAUAUAAACUUAGUAAAACAAAUAUUUAUUAGUAAAAUAAAUAUAACUUAGUAAGAAAAUGAAUGUGUUUCUAAAGAAGUUUCUAAAAUCUGUCGAGCAUCCUUUCUCAUACUAGUUGGUAUGCAUUGUAUAAGGGUGAUCUUUCAAGAGAAAUUAAGCAUGUUUUCAUAAUUGGGAUAUAUAUAUGAACAGAUGACUUGUCCAGAAUGAAAAUCUUUUAAUGUCUAAAAAUUCCUAUGAUAUCCAUCCAUCCAUAUAUAUACAUAUAUAUUAGAGUAUACAUUAUGUGCUAUGUAUGUAGCAUUACAGUAAUCUGUACAUUCUAAGUUUUAUGAACUCUGUUUUUUUGUUAUUAUUAAAAGGCCAGGCUAUCAACGAAGUCCCCAAACAUAUAAAAAAAGAAUGUCAUGAUGAAAUUUCAAUAGGAAUAACUUUAUUUAUGUUACAUAUUUAUAAUUAAAAUAUUUUCUGUUUAGUUUAAAAAUGUGUAUUUAGUUAAAGUUGAAUUUUUGGCUUAUGAGGCAAGGGCUUCAUAACUACUUUAACUCUUACAAUAAGAAUGUUUUAAUAUAGGCUAUAGUCACUUUAGAUGAAAAAUUACCUCAGCAUCUGUUUUUCUUCAGUAUUACUUAAAGCUGUUAGUUUAUUUAGUUACAAAGAUUUUUUUUUUGUUUGUUUUUUGGUUUGCCUAGAGGCCGCUAUUUUGCCAUGUGAAUAUUUAUGAUCUAACUAUUUAUGCAUAUAUACAUAUGAAUGAUACUGUAGCUGUGAACUAUUAAAAAUCAACACCAUUUUUUCUGUUUGUUUUCUUCAUAAUGUAAACUACCGAGUGUUCAUUAUGAAACCAAAAUAUUCUAACUGAUUUCCAUCAGCAGGUACCUUUUGACCAAACCUUCUUCUCCAGUUCUGUGGUGGGAGUGGGAAAUAUAGGGGCAUUUGGCAUGAUUUCUGCUAUCAAGGGACUUAGACUUUAAUUAGGAAAGGAAGUAGUGAAAAAUUGGAAAUGAAUGCCAGGCAUAGGUAUUGAAUGCUGCUGAGGCCCUCACACUGAUGCCCGGAGAGAUGUAUUUAAAGUAGCCUAAAAAAAAACAGAAACAAAAAACUAAAACUGUUAAAUGCAUAUUGCUAAGUGAAAGAGCUACAUACUGUGUAAUUCCAACUACAUGACACUGGAAAAGAAAAACUAUGGAGACAGUAAAAGGAUUGGUGGUUGUCAGGGACUCUGAGGGAGGGAGGGGAGGGAUGAAUAGAAACCAGGAGUUUUAGAGCAGUGAAAUCAUUCAGUAUGAUAUUGUAAUAGUUGACACUUGCCAUUGCGUAUUGUCAAAACCCACAGAACUUAGAAAGAAAGAACCCCAAUGUCAACUAUGGGCUUUAAUUACUAAUAAUGUAUCAAUAUCGGCUCAUUGUAACAAAUAUACCACACUGAUGGAAAUGAUAGGGUGUAUGGGAACUCUGUGAUUUCUGCUUACUUUUCUGUAAACCUAAGACUGCUCAACAAAUAAAGUCAGUUAAAAAAAAAAAAAA
rnacentral:lncRNA from 1 species